GAUGAACGCUGGCGGCGUGCCUAAUACAUGCAAGUCGAGCGAACAGACGAGAGUGCUUGCACUCUCUGACGUUAGCGGCGGACGGGUGAGUAACACGUGGGUAACCUACCUAUAAGACUGGGAUAACUUCGGGAAACCGGAGCUAAUACCGGAUAAUAUUUAGCUUCGCAUGAAGCAAUAGUGAAAGACGGUUCUGCUGUCACUUAUAGAUGGACCCGCGGUGUAUUAGCUAGUUGGUGAGGUAACGGCUCACCAAGGCAACGAUACAUAGCCGACCUGAGAGGGUGAUCGGCCACACUGGGACUGAGACACGGCCCAGACUCCUACGGGAGGCAGCAGUAGGGAAUCUGCCGCAAUGGACGAAAGUCUGACGGAGCAAUGCCGCGUGAGUGAAGAAGGUGUUCGGAUCGUAAAACUCUGUUGUAAGGGAAGAACAAGUACGUUAGUAACUGAACGUACCUUGACGGUACCUUACCAGAAAGCCACGGCUAACUACGUG
rnacentral:rRNA from 1 species